rnacentral:rRNA from 1 species
GACGAACGCUGGAGGCGUGCUUAACACAUGCAAGUCGAACGAUGAAAUGGAGCUUGCUCCAUGGAUUAGUGGCGAACGGGUGAGUAACACGUGAAUAACCUGCCCUUAAUUUUGGAAUAACCCAGGGAAACCUGGGCUAAUACCGGAUAAGUAAACCUGUGGCGUCACAUGGUUUUGGAAAGUUUUUCGAUUAAGGAUGGAUUCGCGGCCUAUCAGCUUGUUGGUGAGGUAAUGGCUCACCAAGGCGACGACGGGUAGCCGGCCUGAGAGGGUGAACGGCCACACUGGGACUGAGACACGGCCCAGACUCCUACGGGAGGGAGCAGUGGGGAAUAUUGCGCAAUGGACGAAAGUCUGACGCAGCGACGCCGCGUGAGGGACGAAGGUCUUCGGAUUGUAAACCUCUUUCAGCAGGGACGAAGCGAAAGUGACGGUACCUGCAGAAGAAGCACCGGCUAACUAUGUGCCAGCCGCCGCGGUAA